AGACUUCCCUCUAAUUCCCAAAUUUUCCAGCUACCGCCUCUCCUGAGUCGCCGCCCCAUCCAUCCUCCUCGUCGAUCUGCUCUAGCCUCCAAUCCCGCUUGGGCAUCGGGCCCAGCCACCCUCGCGCUAGUGCUAGGCUGCUAACCAUAGCCAGUCCUUCCUCCUCUCGCGUGGCCGCGCCUGCAUCCGGCCACGGGCCACCGCGCACAGCCCUAGCCAGACACCGUGCACGACCCAGCCUAGCCGCAGCGGUGGAGGCGCGCAGCCCCACCCCGCCCCGCACGACCAAAUGAACAGCCGCAACCAGCGAGGCUAGGCCCGCAACAGCAACGCCCUUCGCUCGCCAGCAACGGCAGUGCGUCCGACAUCCUUCGCUCGCCUAGUUGCCCUGCAGAUGGCCAGGACCAGCACCACUGCGGUCUGCAGCAGCGCCCCUAACUGUUGAGGAUAAGAGGAGGUUGACAUGGGAUGACAAGUUGACAACCUGCUAAUUGCAAUGUUCAAUUCACUCUUCUUCAACUACCAGGAGGAUUGCUAGCAGAAUUGUUUGGCCGAAGGUUUGUUUAGGAGGAUUGCAUGGAGGCACCUGGGGCCUUUGUCCUCCACCUCCUCAAGUGCGUGCUUGUCAGCGGUGGUGUGGCUGCGUUCCUCGCCCUUGUGCAUCUUUCUCCUAUUACGACCGCGUCCUGCGUAAUAUGGAUACAAUGGAAGCACUUGCGGCCGAGCCUAGAAUAGAAGAAAAAGAAUCUAAGACCCGUAUAGAAGCAGUUGCUCAAGUAUUGGCUUCAUCAAAAUUUAUUCAAAUUGUUGGUCUUGUAGCUGCAAAAAAGAGAAGCAAUAAUGUUGGUGAUGUGACACGUGUACAAGCAGCAAUGUUGGUCUUGUAGCAUCAAGAUUUGGUUAUUGAUGAAUGAUAUCUAUGAUAAAUAUAUGUGAUGAUCAUUGAUUAUAGUUUAA